AGCAGCCGCGGUAAUUCCAGCUCCAAUAGCGUAUAUUAAAGUUGUUGCAGUUAAAAAGCUCGUAGUUGAAUUUCGGGAUUAAUAUGUUGGUCGUGCCUUGGUACGUACUGGCAUUAUUGAUUCCUACCUUCUGAAGAACCUCGAUGUCAUUAAUUUGGUGUCUUGGGGAAUCAGGACCGUUACUUUGAAAAAAAUUAGAGUGUUUAAAGCAGGCUCGCGCUUGAAUACAUUAGCAUGGAAUAAUGAAAUAGGACGUUUGAUUCUAUUUUGUUGGUUUCUAGGAUCGACGUAAUGAUUAAUAGGGAUAGUUGGGGGCAUUAGUAUUCAAUUGUCAGAGGUGAAAUUCUUGGAUUUAUUGAAGACUGACUACUGCGAAAGCAUUUGCCAAGGAUGUUUUCAUUAAUCAAGAACGAAAGUUAGGGGAUCGAAGACGAUCAGAUACCGUCGUAGUCUUAACCAUAAACUAUGCCGACUAGGGAUCGGAUGAUGUUAAUUUUUUAAUGUACUCAUUCGGCGCCUU
rnacentral:misc_RNA from 1 species